GGGAAGUUAGCUCAGUGGUAGAGUGCUUGCCUCACAUGCAUGAGGCCCUGGGUUUGAUUACUCA
rnacentral:tRNA from 1 species